CUUAGCAUACUCCCCAAAGCCCUGCUUCUCACCGGAGAAGUCUGCUGUGAGCGCUUUAAGCCUCUAUCGGAGCUGGAUGAUGGCUGAAUGUUUCCACACUGCUUUGUAGAACCAUUCUUCCAUUAACAGUCCCUAGAGCCUUAGACCUUUGACUGUCCUGGAAGUGCCAGUGUGUUUGUUAGUUUGACUGUUACUACCAUGACUGUGCAUGAUGUCAGGUUCAAAGACAUCUGGAACCCUUGGCACUCAGUAGAUAACGUGUACAAAGUUCUCUCUAUUGCAUUUUGUAUUUCUCAGUCAACAGCGUUUAGUAAUCGCACCUUAGUUUUAUGAGCAUAUAAUAAUGAAAGUUUUGAAAAUAUAUUCAGGCAAGGAACACAAUUUCAACAUCUACAACGACAGUGUGUCUGAUUCCCUGAAUGUCCCAUACGACUACACCUCGGUAAUGCACUACAGCAAAACCGCUUUCCAGAAUGGGACAGAGUCUACCAUCAUUACGAAAAUCUCAGACUUUGAGGAUGUGAUUGGCCAACGAAUGGACUUCAGUGACUAUGACCUUCUGAAGCUGAACCAGCUGUACAGCUGCACUUCUUCCUUGAGUUUUAUGGACUCCUGCGAUUUUGAGCUGGAGAAUAUCUGUGGCAUGAUCCAAAGUUCACAAGAUAGCGCUGACUGGCAGCGGCUUUCACAGGUUCUCAGUGGUCCGGAGAAUGACCACUCCAACAUGGGCCAGUGCAAAGACUCUGGCUUCUUUAUGCACUUCAACACUAGCACUGGGAAUGGGGGGGUCACAGCGAUGCUGGAGAGCAGAGUGCUGUACCCCAAGAGAGGGUUUCAGUGCGUGGAGUUUUAUCUGUAUAACAGUGGAAGUGGAAAUGGCCAACUGAACGUCUACACCCGGGAGUACACUGCAGGCCACCAGGAUGGUGUUUUGACCCUUCAGAGAGAAAUAAGAGACAUACCCACUGGGAGCUGGCAGCUUUACUAUGUAACACUGCAAGUGACUGAAAAAUUCCGAGUGGUGUUUGAAGGCGUCGGAGGCCCUGGCGCAUCAUCGGGUGGUCUGUCUAUCGAUGACAUCAAUCUCUCGGAAACAAGGUGUCCCCACCACAUCUGGCACAUACAGAAUUUCACUCAGCUUCUUGGAGGCCAGACCACUGUAUACAGUCCUCCAUUUUAUUCCUCUAAAGGUUACGCUUUUCAGAUUAACCUGGAUCUAACAUCCCCGACCAAUGUAGGGCUUUAUUUCCACCUGAUCUCCGGGGCCAAUGAUGAUCAAUUACAGUGGCCGUGUCCUUGGCAGCAAGCCACAAUGACACUCUUGGAUCAGAAUCCUGACAUCCGGCAGCGUAUGUCCAACCAGCGGAGUAUAACCACAGACCCAAAGAUGACCGAUGGUUUGUGGCUUACGUUCUUUAUGGGCAGGGA
rnacentral:lncRNA from 14 species